GGGAAAAUAGUUAAACAUAACAUUUAAAUUGCAACUAAAAAUUACACUAAUGUGUUUUUCUCA
rnacentral:tRNA from 1 species